AAUGAACGCUGGCGGCGUGCUUAACACAUGCAAGUCGAGCGAGAAAGUUCCUUCGGGAAUGAGUACAGCGGCGAACGGGUGAGUAACGCGUAGGAAUCUACCUUUUAGUGGAGAAUACCCUCGAGAAAUUGAGGUUAAUACUGCAUACGUCCCUUCGGGGAGAAAGAUGGCCUCUUGCUGUCGCUAAAAGAUGAGCCUGCGUACUAUUAGCUAGUUGGUAGGGUAAUGGCCUACCAAGGCAAAGAUGGUUAGCCGGCCUGAGAGGGUGAUCGGCCACAUUGGAACUUAGACACGGUCCAAACACCUACGGGAGGCUG
rnacentral:rRNA from 1 species